rnacentral:rRNA from 1 species
UAGCCAUGCGAGUUAAAUGUUCUUCGUGAACAUAGCAGACUGCUCAGUAACACGUGGAUAACCUGCCCUUAGGACUGGCAUAACCCCGGGAAACUGGGGAUAAUUCCGGAUAGAUCAUAAAUGCUGGAAUGCUUUAUGAUUGAAAGGUUUCGACCGCCUUAGGAUGGAUCUGCGGCCUAUCAGGUUGUAGUGGGUGUAAUGUACCUACUAGCCUACGACGGGUACGGGUUGUGGAAGCAAGAGCCCGGAGAUGGAUUCUGAGACAUGAAUCCAGGCCCUACGGGGCGCAGCAGGCGCGAAAACUUUACAAUGCGGGAAACCGUGAUAAGGGAACACUGAGUGCUAGCAUUUAUGUUAGCUGUCCACAUGUGUAAAUAGCAUGUGAUAGCAAGGGCUGGGCAAGACCGGUGCCAGCCGUCGCGGUAACACCGGCAGCCCGAGUGGUGAUCACUAUUAUUGGGUCUAAAGGGUCCGUAGCCGGUUUAAUCAGUCUUCUGGGAAAUCUAAUCGCCUAACUAUUAGGCUUCCAGGGGAUACUGUUAGACUUGGGACCGGGAGAGGUAAGAGGUACUGCAGGGGUAGGAGUGAAAUCUUGUAAUCCCUGUGAGACCACCAGUGGCGAAGGCGUCUUACCAGAACGGGUCCGACGGUGAGGGACGAAAGCUGGGGGCACGAACCGGAUUAGAUACCCGGGUAGUCCCAGCUGUAAACGAUGCUCGUUAGGUGUCAGGAACG